rnacentral:lncRNA from 1 species
GGUGCCGUCGGGGUUAUUCUUGACGGUCCUGGGGUGCACGCCGCCGAUGGUGGAGAUGCCGCCGUUCUCGUAGACGUGGAUGUGCGAGUUGUCGCCGAGGAUGGCCUCGCUGCCCCUGACGUCGCAGUGCACGAGGACGGAGAUGAGGUUGCCCAUGGUGCCCGACGGCACGAAGAGCGCGGCCUCCUUGCCCAUGAUCGCGGCCAUCUCCGCCUCGAAGCGCUGCGCGGUCGGGUCGGCGCCCAGGACGUCGUCGUCGACGACGGCGGCGGCCAUGGCGGCCCGCAUCGCCUCGGAGGGCUUGGUCACCGUGUCCGACCGGAGGUCCACCACCUUGCUCGCCAUUUAGCUGGUGCUGCUCGAACAGAACCUCUAGCUACACUACAGCUCCCUCCAGGCCUCCACUGCAGCGGAGCGACAGAGUCGUCUCCCAAUAAAUUACACACGCCAAAGCUCACGAACGAAUUGGAUGCUCAACCACCACGCUUUGUCUUUGAGAUAUGGUUUGCUUUCUCCUUGAAAAUUGGCAAUUUUUUCGCGCUUUUGGAAGUAAUACCAGUAUGAUGGCUGAUGAUGCAUUGAUGCUCAUUGCACUUGUUUCCAACAGAACACAACACCAGCCUACACGCUAGAGGCCAAAAGGACCGCUCAGAGUCGCCACAGUCCAGGACGCCCGCUCGCUCCCAAACGAAGCAAACAGGCGAGGGAGUCAGGAGACGACUCCGACGUCGUCCUCCUCCACACGCACACGUCGACAACGUAUGCGUCCAGGUGCGCCGUGUCCAGACUACAGACUGCACUGGUCACUGGAAAGAAAGGGAUACAGAACAAAGUCUGAUAGUGAUCGCCCACGCCCAGCUACGAGCUACGGCGACGUGGCCCGUGUCACGCAUUCAGUCAGUUAGAAGUCUAUCAAAAUUCAAAAUGGGUAAAGACAAGAGAAAGAAUCGCACGGAUCGUUUGAGUUUACCUGCCGAAUUUGUCAAUCAUUUAGCAGUAUUUUCAGCUCCAAGAAUUAGAGGCCUGUAAAGAAGCAGGUGGUUUAUAAGAUUCUGCAAAGAUACCACAUCAAAUCUGUUGAAGUCCCUGGAUUAUCCGAUGAACACCAGUAAGCUGCGCUUAUGUUGAUGUUUCAUUAUUCUAGUCGUAUCUUUUUGUUCUGAACUUCGAUUUUGAUGAUCCCGAAAUUGUUGGAAAGCUUAUGAAAACAGUAUUGCUAUAUGUCAACCGGUUAAUUUAGGAUCAUCUCUCAACUUUUUUUUUGCUGUCGGAUGGCGUCCCAUCUGUUUCCUAGAGGGAGCCGGCUUUAGGCGGCCUGCUUGUCUAGUUGCGUGGUGCAGCGUGUAUGUGAGCAAAGGAGAGGGAGUUGCUCGUGGGGCCCGUGCUGGUUGCCAAGAGAGAGGUCGACGCUGUUUCCUUGUGCGCGGGCAUCUUCGGCAAGGGUGCCUCUUCCGGUUCACGGUUGCAAUGUUUGAAUUUUGUAUUUUUAAAAUUUUGUGAAGAAUUUAUGAAUAAUUUGAUAUAUAUUUCUCUGAUUUCUGGAAUCCAUAAAAAUAAUUUGUCAUUCUUUUUGAAAAUUUGACAUAUAUUUGUGUUAUUCAUAAAUUACACCACUCUUUUAAAUAAGUUAUACUGAAGAAAUUAUUGUAAAUAUAGUAAUAAGAUAGUGUAAAUACAGCUAUAAAACAAUGUAAGUGCAUAGAAAAAUUCAGUUGAUGGGAAGGACUAAAUCAACCGGUUGUUGGCUAGACAGAUCCUAUGAAAAUAUCUACAAUUUGAAUUUGAUAGUAUACCCAUUUGACCAGACAAAUCCAACUCAAUAAUCUCUUUGUCCCGACUUGUGCAUCCCUAUAAAUGGGUCCUUGUAACUGUGUUGUCGCUAAAAUCAUCAAAACCAUAUAUAAUCAUGCACAUUGGCUCAUAAUCCCAUACAACAUACCACUUUGCUAGCGGACUCACUAAAUAGCGAACGUUCAUCAGAUUUGAAUCUAGCGAACGAUCAUACAACCCCACGACUUUCCUUUUUUGGCAAAAAAAAGAAAUCCCGCAAUUUUCUAUUUUUGGAAAGUUUUCUAUUUUAGGCAAAAAAAUCGCUACUUUUCUUUUUUGAAAAUUUGUACUCACAACUUUUACGUAAAACUUAUGGAACAAACUUUUACGUAUAACUCAUAUACAUGACUUUAAUAUAUAUCUUCACUGUGACAAAGUUACACACAUAACUUAUACAUAUAACUUACUACAUGAUAAAGUUAUACACAUAACUUUUAUCUAUAAUAUUUUAUGGAACAAGUUUAUCAACAUAAUUUAUGACAAGACAAUUUAGCGAACGUUCAAAAAAGUUACAAUUAAAACUUAAGCAUAUAAUUUAAUUAAACCAAUUUUAACAUAUAAGUUAAUAACUGCAAGUUAAGCACAAAAUAUAAUAAAUAAAAUAGCUUUGCAAAAAGUUAGACAUAAAAGAUUAUAAUUAUAAGUUAAUAUCUACUAGUUACAUGUAGAAAGUUAGAUAUAAAAAUUGUGUACAGAAAGUUAGAUAUAAAAGUUACGUGCAAAAAGUAAAUAAUUAUAAAAUUUACAUCUAGCAUUUUAAAAUAAAUGUUUUACUUUUUUGUGACAUCAGCGGUGGUUAUGGAAGAGCACGCUAGAAGAGGAGGUAGUUUGAACCUUUGUUAUAUCAAAUUAAGUGAACGAUCGCCCAAAAGGGUUGACAACAUAUAUAAAAAGAAAAAAUUGAUAGACUUAUAUAAAAAAUAAAAAGAGAAAAAAAGGCAAAAGAAAAUUUUAAAAAUGUUUUAUUAGCUUUUGUGUUUUAAAGUUUUGGCAUAAGUUGUAAGUUAUAUGGUAUAAGUCAUAUGGUGAUAAGUUUUGCAAAGUGUUAUACCAAGUUGUUAGUAUAAUUUAUAGAAAUAAGUUAUAUUCUAUAAUAUAUAUGUAUAACUUAGUUACCUUCUAAAAAUGGAAAGUUGCGGAAAUUAUCAUUUUCAAAUAAGGAAAGUUGCGGGAGUAGCUGAUGGUUCGCUGGAUUCGUUACUAGUGAACGAUCGUGGAAUUGGAUUUGCGCUUUGCUAGUUAAGUACAAUGGCGCAUAAGUCCCUAUCAUACAAGUUUUUCACUAAUAUAGGGUCAUUAGCAGAUUUGUCACACAAAGAACCUCCCAUGCAAAACACUAGGUCCUAGGACAUUUGAAAUAGCAAUAAACAAGUAAUCCAUGUAAUCCUAAUCCCACAUAUAAACCAUAGGGCACCUAGCUUUCAGAUGGCUUUGGAAGAGCUCCUGGCCAAGUUAAGUCUUUUUUACUACGGGUUACAAAAGUUUAACAUAGAAAUAUGUUAAGUCCUCAGAAAAAGCUUCUGCCGACUUUGAUUUAUAAUCAGCAGAGGCUAUACCUGUUGAAUAUGCUUGCACAGAUACCCUAGCGGAAAAGGGAUAGCUCGACGGCCCUAAAAUGGCCCAGGAGGUCCGUGAUGUCAAAAGGGUAAGGCUAAGCACCCUCAUUCCCUCUCGCCUAGCCGGUGACAAAGCCAACGCAAAAGUCACGUGAAACUCACACCUGUCUCACCAUGAAGCCUCAACUUUUUCAUAAGAACCUUCCUUGCCUGGCGUCCGGCUUAGCUGUUUUUACAAAUUCCUUUAGUUUUAGUUUUACUAGAUAAGCCGCUCCACCAAACGAGUCAGAGUAUAAGCUAUGCCAACCAUACUUUUAUCUUACAUGAAUACAUGAUAAUAAGAUAUAUGUUGUUGACUUUCAUCCACCUUUUCUCCUUCAUGUCGUGCAUGACCACAGACUGCAUGUCUCUACAUCUCGUGCCUGACACGACACGAGCACAGAGUUCCUCCUAGUUCUAUCUUUACAUGAGCACAAUUUCUUCCCAAUUUAUCUUUAUACAAGGAUCAUACUAAAAACAUGUUUGGUUAGACGACCAGAAUGCAUUGUUGACCAUGCAGCAGCCCCAUACCAUUGAUUUCGAUCGCUUGGCAGAUGGGAUGGAUGCCUAUAGGAGGAGCUGCCUGCCAAACGACCGCAACAACUGAAUGUUUUGAAUUGGCCCCUCCUAGCAACUGAAUUUUGCCCAUAUACUUAUACUAUUUUAUUACUAUAUUUAUAAUGAUUUCUUUAGUGUAAUUUGUUGGACAGAGUGAUAUAAUUUGAGGAUAGCACAACUUCUACUUCUAUGGAUUGUAGAUCUCUGAUAAAUAUAUGUCAAUUUUUUUAAAAAAAUACAAAUUAUUUCUAUGGAUUGUAGAUAUCAGAUAAAUUUAUGUUUAUUAUUAACAAAUUGUUCACAGUUUCUAGAAAAAAAAUACAAAUUCUUCACAUAUCACAGACUGGAGGGGGUCGCGCCUGCAGCCGCAGCGGGGAGUGGCGGCGGACGAUUGGCCUGGGGGUCGACGGCGGAGGGAGGGCCGGUGCAUGCUUGGGGGGAGGGGGGGGGGUUGGAGGGAGGGCGAACGGCAAUAAAGCACGCCACGUGCCAGAUCCGACGGCCAAAAAUUCAGUUGUCAGAUGCUCCCAAAACAACCGGUUGCUCUCUAGCAAUUAUCUAUAAGUAAUAAGGGCGGCACUAUAACACAAGAAACAGUAUUAUCUGGGUCACAUAUAUUCUGCAUUGGCAAUGCUCUGUCUUUAACUUUCGAUGUCAAUGUUUUUGCUCGGUGCAUACAGCAUACAAAGCAUACAGUGCAUCUGUCUUCUUCUCGAGCAAAUUUCGUUGCAUCCCUCUUACCAAGAAGCGGAAACGGAUCAAGCAAAUUCUCGGAAGGUAAACUACAACACAAGAACGAACGCAUGCGAGUGAUGGGUGAACAGCUAUAACUAUCCAGCAAAGGUGUGGCUACAAUUUAACAGCUAGCGGUUUUUUUUAACAAACGGGCAAACGAGGAGUGUGCCUAUUUCAUUAAUAGAGAAGAGUUUUAACAGCUAGCGUUGAUCACAAACAAGCAGGGCACCAGGCUGACGUCUAGUGCCAAUAUGCGUUUUUGACAGUACCAUUUGUCAAGUGCUCCAACUUUGUACCGCCCUUCAAUAGCUCUUCAACAGCUUUCUGAAAACAAGGAAAAUGUACCGAUGAUGACCACACUAACAGACGAAGUGAAAACUGGAAGCAGUUCGAGGCUCCAAACUUUUGCGUACCUCGACACAUGUCAGUGCAUAUUGAACAUCGCUAUCUGAAAUUUGGUAAUGGACGACGAACCUGACACUGCAUGAUACGAAGUACAUAGCUCAAUGUGGGUAUCUAACUCUGCCCAUCAUUAAAGAUACUACUGUAACUGUUUAGAUUAAAGUCUGAUUUGCUAAUUGAUCAUAGAGUUUCUGUAAAAAUAGGGACAAUAACCCUUCUUAUUCUUUUAAAUAUAGGCAGCUAUGUUCUUUAAAGUGAAAAAAGGAAUAAUACUUCUUGACCGAGCCAUCGAGCUUAUCAGUCAAAAAAUGAAGAUAUGAUAAUGAAAAGGAGACAAUGUUAGGGGGUUUACAUUAUCACCAAUAGAUUUUCGAUAAAUGUGAUAUUUAUUCUUUUAUCAGUGAAGCACAAUAUAAUUAGUUUUAUCACCCAAAAAUAUCAGUGAUAUGAAUUGCCCACCAACUGAGCAACCCAAUAACUUGUAAACUUUGAAACUAUGUUUGUUGUAAUAUUUGGGACUGUGUUUACUACUUAACCAACGGAGUUUGAUAUUCACUCAUUGUUAUGUGUUGUUUUUUUGUGCUAACUUGUUUGGAGAGAAUCUAUAUGGUUUUCUGUGCAAAUUGACAGUCUUUUCUCCAAACUUUGGUAAAAAGAAACCAUAUCACUGAUAGAAUUUUGAUCCCAUUUAUCGGUCACAUCUAAUAUUUUCUAUAACAAGAAAAUAGGAGACUGAACAUACAAGGCCAUAUACGCUUCAUAUGUAGAGGCAGGGAUAUUGUCUUUAAAAUUCCAUUAUCUAAGAAAGGAGACUGAUCAUGUUACUCAGAGAAUGCAACUUCACCAUGUAAACAGGAAAUAAAGAAUGGAAUUUCACCUUUUUGAACUUGCUGGCAUUGCAAGCACAUUGCGCUGUUCCAAGACUUGGCAUAGCUUGUUCGGUGAAAUGCGUGGAUCCACGAUAUCGAAGAACACCUUAUACAAAGUAAAGGUAUGUCAUAUACUGGACCUUUUCAGUUUACAUUGUGGAAAAUAAGAAAAUAUAGCGCUUCAUCUUUUACACUGACCAUAUUGGUCUCAACCGAAGAUGAAUCCACUGUAAACUGUUUAAUUUUCUUCAGGCCCUCUAAUAUAAGAAAACGAAAUGGAGUUACAAGGUCAGGAAUAAAAGCUAACACAAGGAUUUAGUUUCUUUUCUAGAAAUACCAUGAAAAGAGCAGUGUUUUGUUUUCCUUGUAUGUAUUAGAUAGGAUGAAAAAAAAUGAAAAUCCUGGGUACUAACAAUAGAAGGUUUUUUUUUUGUCUGUUGGGUGUGUGUCAAGCAGAGGGGCUGUUCAGGGCUUGUGAACUCUGAAUAAUAACAAAAAUGAAGUGAAGCUAGACUGAAAAGAAAACUAUAAAUAAAUGAAACCUGCCAAGGCUUUCGCCUUCCUGUGAUCAUCCGCAAGCUUUCCCACAGUGUCGCGAACAGCAACAUAAGCAGCAGCACAAAGAACUCCAACCUGUCUCAUUCCACCACCUAGGGUCUUCCUAAGAAUUUUAGCCUGAAGGCAAUAUUUCAGGUUUCCACUAUAACAUGAUCUCUGCAGUUUUAAACUUAAAACAGAGAAGUUGAUCAGACCUUGUCAAUGAAGGCCUUUGAACCAACAAUAACUGAUCCGAUGGGCGCGCCUAACCCUUUAGAUAGGCAUAUCUGUAGUUCAUGUUUCAGAGAAACAGAAUCACCACUCAUAUAUGUUACCUGAAGCUCAUUCAUAUGCAUGUUGUAAAUUGACCGCACAAGCACAACCCAGCAAACUAACGACAUACCGAAACUGAGUCGGCAGCUUUUACAAGUCUAUGUACAGGAACUCCCAGCGCCUGGCACAGUAAAGCACACAGAGAUGUUAAUCCUCUAUUACCUAUGCCUGAAAGCAGAACAAUGCUUGGUUUAUACAGCUCCCUGCGACAGCGAGAAUGUUCAAGUGCUUACCACAGAGGCAUUGAAAAUACGAGCUCCAUCAAUGUGAAGCUUCAAGCCGUGGUUCACGGCAAUUUGGCCAACCUUGUCUGUGUAUUCUACGGACAAACAUUUCCCACCACAACUGCAGAAGAAGUAAGAAAUAUACAGAUUAUUACUUUAAGUAAAAAAAAAGAAAGCAUGAUAUAUAUGAAUUUGACUAGCAAGGUGAGCAGCAGCAGCUAACUCGAGCGAUGGACUCACUUGGCAUGUGUGUUCUCCAAGCAGAUCAACCUGGUCGUCGGGUACAGCAGCGCCCCGUCCGGGUUCCUAAUGGCGGCAAGAAUCUUAUCGACGUCCAUGGUGCCGUCGGGGUUGUUGGGCACGGUCCUGGGGUGCACGCCGCCGAUGGUGGAGAUGCCGCCGUUCUCGUAGACGUGGAUGUGGGAGUUGUCCCCGAGGAUGACCUCGCUGCCCCUGACGUCGCAGUGCACGAGGACGGAGAUGAGGUUGGCCAUGGUGCCCGAGGGCACGAACAGCGCGGCGUCCUUGCCCGUGAGCGCGGCCAUCUCGCCCUCGAAGCGGCGCGCGGUCGGGUCGGCGCCCAGGACGUCGUCGUCGACGUCGGCGGCCGCCAUGGCGGCGCGCAUGGCGUCGG